GACGAACGCUGGCGGCGUGCUUAACACAUGCAAGUCGAACGGAAAGGCCCUGCUUUUGUGGGGUGCUCGAGUGGCGAACGGGUGAGUAACACGUGAGUAACCUGCCCUUGACUUUGGGAUAACUUCAGGAAACUGGGGCUAAUACCGGAUAGGAGCUCCUGCUGCAUGAUGGGGGUUGGAAAGUUUCGGCGGUUGGGGAUGGACUCGCGGCUUAUCAGCUUGUUGGUGGGGUAGUGGCUUACCAAGGCUUUGACGGGUAGCCGGCCUGAGAGGGUGACCGGCCACAUUGGGACUGAGAUCCGCCCAAGCCUCCGAGGGGAGGCAGCGGGGGGGAUUUUUGAACAAUGGGCGGAAGCUUGAUGCAGCACCGCCGGGGGGGGGAUGACGGCCUUGGGUUUGUAACCCGCUUCCGCCUGUGACGAAGCGGGAGGGAGGGUAAGGGGUAAAGAGCCCCCGGCAAACUACGUC
rnacentral:rRNA from 1 species